UUCGCAUGGAUCGGAUUAAAAAAUAACCGUGAUUUAAGGCACAUCCAGGGAAGAUGGAAUAACUUACAUAAGUUAUGAUGUGUCGGAUCUGCAAAUAAACAGAAUGAGAAGAGGG